UCAACGCUGGCGGCGUGCCUAACACAUGCAAGUCGAACGCGAAAGCCCCGCAAGGGGUAAGUAGAGUGGCAAACGGGUGAGUAACACGUGGGUGACCUGCCUUCGAGUGGGGGAUAACGUCCCGAAAGGGACGCUAAUACCGCAUGACAUCCUGCUUUUGAAAAAGCGGAGAUCAAAGCUGGGGAUCGCAAGACCUAGCGCUUGAAGAGGGGCCCGCGCCUGAUUAGCUAGUUGGUGAGGUAACGGCUCACCAAGGCGACGAUCAGUAUCCGGCCUGAGAGGGCGGACGGACACACUGGGACUGAGACACGGCCCAGACUCCUACGGGAGGCAGCAGUGGGGAAUUGUUCGCAAUGGGCGCAAGCCUGACGACGCAACGCCGCGUGGAGGACGAAGAGCUUCGGGUCGUAAACUCCUGUCGAGCGGGACGAACGCUUCGCGGAUGAAUAAUCCGCGGAAUUGAUGGUACCGCUAAAGGAAGCCCCGGCUAACUCCGUG
rnacentral:rRNA from 1 species